UUCAGAAGGAUAUCUGGAUACAUGGGAAGAAACCUCUACAUAGAAAUGAAAUUUGCUGGUACUGAAGAGAAUCUUGUUUAUUUUUUACUAAGUGAAGUUUUAUUUAUUUGUAUUUGUGCAUUUUUACUGAGUUUACAAGGUUCAUGAUUUUGAAAGUUACACUAGUAAAAUUCUGUGAAUAUUUGAUUUUAAAAAACUGAUGGUUAUCUAUAUUGUUCCUAUUGAACAUGCUUUUUAUGAAUGGUUUCUAUCAGUGUUUUUCUGUUUCCUUUGGCCUCAGGAAGAUUAUUUUUCCACAUUAUUAUUUGUACCUCCAUGCUUUAGAACAUUACUUUGUGUCACCUUAUAAUCAGAUACUUCAGUUUAAAUGUCUCCACAUGAAACUUUCUUCCACAGAAUAAUGGUUUCUCAGUUUCUUUGCCAAGUAAUAUUGGGCAUUUCUUUUAGUGAAAAGCUUCUUUGAUAUUAGCUAAUUAUGAUGUAGCACUUUGGGAUACAAGCUUUCAAAUCCAUCAAGACUAAUCAGCUCAGAAAAAAACGUGUGCUGUCUGGAAGGAAAUUUUCUUUUAAGAAAAUCAAAGCUACUAACCCACUGAGUCUCAAAGCUGGCUACACAUUAGAAUCAUUUGGAGAGCUUUUAUAAAGAAAUAAUAGGCUUCCACUUUGGGCCAAGAGAGAGCAACAGUAAUCAGGUUUACCCUCCCUCCUAAAACAGGAAUUUUAAAACCCCACAAAAUAAUGGUUUUCAGACAUUGAACAACAGGCACUGGAGAGAAGGAAAUAAAUUUUUUUCCCUUAUGUAGCUACUAUAAAUGCCACACGUGAUCAAGAAGGUAAAGGAAAACAUGAACAUGAGAGAGACGUGGAAUAUAUCUUUAAAAAGAGAAAGAGAAACAUAAUAUUUCUGGAGACGAAAAACACAUGCUGCAGAAGAAAGCAUUAGCAACCUUGAUGCCAUGACAGUAGAAACUGUCCAAAAUAAGGCACAGAGAAGAAAGUGGAAAAAAAGGCAAAAAGGAAAACAGAGCAACAGAUAAUGUGAAACAAGAUCAGAUAGUCUUUAGGUAUGUGUAAUUGGAGUCCGCAGGAGAUGUGAGAGGAAAAAGAGUUGAAACAAUCAUAGACAAAAUAUUUCCACAUUUGAUGAAAACUAUAUUAGUUGUGUAUUGCUACCUAACAAGUUAUUCCAAAAAUUUAGUGGCUUAAACAAAACAUCCAUUAUCUCCCAGUUUCUGUGUGUGGCUCAGCUGGGCCCUCUGGUUCAGGGACUCUUCACAUGGCUGCAAUCAAGGUAUCAGCUGAGGCUGCAGUCAUCUCAGGGCUCGACUGAGGGAGGCUGCUUUCAGGCUCACUCAUGGUUAUUGGCAGGAUUUAGUUCCUUGUGGGUUGUUGGCCUGAGGGCCUCGGCUUCUUCAUUGGCUGUUGGCCAGAGGCUGCCCACAAUUCUGGACCACAUAGGCUUCUCCGUAGGGCAGCUCACAACAUGGCAGCUAACUUCAUUAGAAUGAACAAGCAAGAAGCGCCAAAAAGAGAAUGCCAGCAAGACACUAGUCCUUUAUUCACCUUAAGCCAGAAGUGAUGAUCUGUCAUUUUUGCCAUUUUCUGUUCAUUAAAGCAAGUUAAUAGAAUUAGUCAACACUGAAGGGGUAGGGAUUACCUAAAGGCAUGAAUACUAUGAGGCAGAAAUCAUUGGGAGCUGUUUUAGAAGUUGUCUCCCACAAAACUAUAAACUCACAGAUCCAAGAAGUUCAAUAAACCCCAAAAAGAGGAAAAGAAAAUCUUGCCAAGUCACAUCAUGAUCAAUUUGCUAAAAACCAGUACCUUAGAAAAUCUUAAAGAUAAUCAGAGGAAAAAUGACAUAUUAUGUACAGAGGAACAAAGAUAAGAAUGACUGCAUGGUUCUCAUCAAAAAGCUGUUAAGUCAGAGAAUUGAGCAAAAUCUUUAAAGUAAUGAAGGAAAAUGUCAACCCAGUGUCCUUUACUUAGCAAAAAUAUCCUUCCUAAAUUAAAGAUUUUUUUUUUUUUUUUUUUUUUUUUCGAGACGGAGUUUCGCUCUUGUUGCCCAGCCUGGAGUGCAAUGGCGUGAUCUCAGCUCACAGCAACCUCCACCUCCCAGGUUCACGCCAUUCUUCUGCCUCAGCCUCCCAAGUAGCUGGGACUACCGGCGCCCGCCACCACACCCCGCUGAUUUUUUUGUAUUUUUAGUAGAGACAUGGUUUCACGGUGGUCUUGAUCUCCUGACCUCGUGAUCCGCCCGCCUUGGCCUCCCAAAGUGCUGGGAUUACAGGCGUGAGCCACGAGGUGGAGUCUCGCUCUGUCGCCCAGGCUGGAGUGCAGUGGUGCAAUCCUGGCUCACUGCAAGCUCAGACUCUCGGGUUCACGGCAUUCUCCUACCUCAGCCUCCCGAGUAGCUGGGACUACAGGCGCCUGCCACCACGCCCGGCUAAUUUUCUGUAUUUUCUUUGGUAGAGAUGGGGUUUCACCGUGUUAGCCAGGAUGGUCUCAAUCUCCUGACCUCGUGAUCCACCCACCUCUGCCUCCCGAAGUGCUGGGAUCACAGGCGUGAGCUACUGCGCCCAGCCUGUGCUUUGUAUUUUAUGUGGAUUGCCUUGUUUAAUAUAAGAAUGCUUUGGGCUGUAAUCCCAGCACUUUGGGAGGCUGAGGCAGGCCGAACACCUGAGGUUGGGAGUUGGAGACCAGCCUGACCAACAUGGAGAAACCCCGUCUCUACUAAAAGUACAAAAUUAGCUGGGCAUGGUGACGCAUGCCUGUAAUCCCAGCUACUCGGGAGGCUGAGGCAGGAGAAUCACUUGAACCCCAGAGGCGGAGGUUGCAGAGAGCUGAGAUCGCACCAUUGCACUCUAGCCUGGGCAACAAGAGUGAAACUCCAUCUUCAAAAAAAACAUGCUUUGAAAUGUUAGCUCUAUUAUAAUUCCCAUUAUAUAGUUGAAUAAAAAGAAGCCUAGGAAAGUUAAGUAUGUACUGUAAACUAUAAUAGUUAAGUGUUAGAAUUGGGAUUUGACUGGGUAGUAUAACUCUAGACCCCACUCUCUUAACCGUUGUCCUAAAUGUGAGCUCUGGCAUCUGGCAGACCUAGGAUUGAGUCUUGGCUUUACAGUUUAUGAGCAUUAAGUCCUCCCUGGAAAACUUCUUUUUUACUGCCCAUUUUGUAUCUCUUAACUUUUGUAAAGCCAUCUAUUCUUUUGUUCCUCUGGCUCAGCGAUACAGCUUUUAGCUAGAAAUAUAAAUGAUAUAUAGGAAUUGUCAGAUAACAUUUCUGUCUUCACAAGACUGUGACAGUCCCUUUUUUUUUUUGAGACGGAGUCUUGCUCUGUUGCCCAGGCUGGAGUGCAGUGGCGUGAUCUCUGCUCAUUGCAGGCUCCGCCUCCCAGGGUCACGCUGUUCUCCUGCCUCAGCCUCCCGAGUAGCUGGGACUACAGGUGCCCACCACCACGCCCAGCUAAUUUUUUUGUAUUUUUAGUAGAGACGGGGUUUCACCGUGUUAGCCAGGAUGGUCUUGAUCUCCUGACCUUGUGAUCUGCCCACCUCGGCCUCCCAAAGUGCGGGAUUACAGGUGUGAGCCACCGCACCUGGCCGACAGUCCCUUAUCUGGUUCAUCUUCAUACCUCUAAAAGUCAGCAUGGAUGCUCUAUUAAUGAUUGUUAAAAAAUGAAUAGUGCCAUUAAUUCUUUCUGGGGGAUUCCUGGAAAGCUUCUCAGAGAACAUGGCAUUUGUGGUGCCUUGAAUGAUGAAUAGGAGUUUCUCAGGCAGAGAAGAGAGAAAGGAAGGGCCUUCGAAGCUGAGGGAAUCACCUGAGUGAGAGGGCAUGGCUAUUUGGGGCAGAGCAGUGUCCAGUGCAUGAGGGUGGGGGUGGGUUGUAGGGAGAGAGGGUGAUUUGAGCAUGCAAAGGGAAUGAAUUGUAAUUAGGUGGUGGGUGGCUAAAAAUGACAAUGCCAAGGUGUUGGAUUAAAAAAAAAAAAAUCUGUUAGUAGAGGGAAAUUAUGGAGGAUUUUUAAAAAGGUUAAUGAUAAUAUCUCAUCUACUUAUGUAACUUUUUUUGGAGAUACCUGAUAAUAGUGUAGAGUGCAUUGGAGAGAAAAAGUAGGAGUUGUAAAGACCAUUUUGGAUAAACUUUGAAGCAAGGGAUAAGGGCCUCAACUGAGGUAGUGGUGUUGAAAACAUUGUUCACAUAAAUAAGCAGAUACAAAUAGAAGGAUUUUUCAAGUGGCAUUGUCACUCCACUUUUCAAAGUUAUUUGCCAAAAAUCAAAUAAUCUAUCUUCAAAAAUCAUGUUUGAUGAUGUAUCAUCAAAGUCUUUCUUAAAUUUUGUUGAAAGCAAAGGAAUAAGAACCACCUGAUUUGCAAACGGAUUGAGUUACUUGGUGGAGUAAUUCUUUUAAUAUGAACACCAUUAUUUUGAAUGAUCCCUUUGGCACCCAGUGUUUUGUACUUUAAGACAGUGCACCACUGUACUUUUUUUAAGUAGAAGGACAAAAAAGAUAUAAAAACUUUGAUGACUGCUUGACUGAAGGUACGAUCUCAAGCAGAUCAAUUUUAGGAAGCAGUACUUAAGAUUAGAAAAUCUAGGGGGAGGCCAGGCAUGGUGGCUCACGCCUCUAAUCCCAGCACUUUGGGAGGCCAAGGCCAGCAGAUCACAAGGUCCAGAGAUCAAGACCAUCCAGCCAACAUGGUGAAACACUGCCUCUACUACAAGUAUAAAAAUUAGCUGGGUGUAGUGGUGCACGCCUGUAGCCCCAGCUACUCGGGAUGCUGAGGCAGGAGAAUCACUUGAACCCAGGUGGUGGAACUUGCAGUGAGCCGAGAUCAUUUGUCACGGCACUCCAGCGUGGCAACAGAGUGAGACUGUCUCAAAAAAAGAAAAUCUAGAAAGAGAGCCAGUUGCAUGUGGUGGCUCAUACCUGUAAUCCCAGCACUUUAAGAGGCUGAGGCCGGCGGAUUGCUUGAGACCAGGAGUUCGAGACCAGCCUGGGCAACAUGGCGAUACCCCUGUCUCUACAAAAAAUUAGAAAACUUAGCCAGACAUGGUGGUGCAUGCCUGUAGUUCCAGCUACUCCGGAGGCUGAGGUGGGAGCAUCACCUGAGCCCAGGAGUUUGAAGGCUGCAGUGAGCUGCAGUUACACCAUUGCCUGGGCGACAGUAAGACCCUGUCUCAAUAAAAAGAAAAAAAGUCUCGAGAGUCUCUAUAAACUAUCUGCUACCCACACUGCUUAGAAAAUCUCAGGUACCCUGAGUGAUAAAUGUAAUCAAUUUUAAAGAUGGGUGCACUAACUAGGGCAGUGACCAUGAUGAUGGAGAGAAGUCGAGUGUUGGUAUUUGGGAUUUAGAAGGUGGAAUUAACAGGACUUGGGGAUGUGGGGGAAGGUGACUGAGGGGAAGGCAAAGAUGACUCCUAGUUUCCUGGCUCCACAUAAGCAUAGUAAACUGAGAACUGGGAGAAGACACUGUCAUGGAAGCCAUGGAGGAAAAUGUCAGGAAGCAGGCAGAGGUAAUCAUCAUUGCCAAACACUACAGGAACAUUAGGCAAAGAACUGAGAAGAGUCUCAAAAGUAGAAGGCCAGUUUUUUUCAAGUGAAUAGUUUCAUUAGAGUGGUAGGGGCAGAAGGAAUAUGGCUGUAUUAGUUAAGCAGCAUUAGUUUCAUUGAAACAGCAUCUCCAGUGGGUUCUAAAACAUUUCUUAGAAUACAUUAAGUGGUUUAACCAACUCUUCAUUGAUAGUGUCCAGGUUAACUUUGCUCUACCUCAGGACAGGUUAUAACAUAAAUUCCAAAGUAUGUUAAAUGUUUUGCUGGCUUAGGAUGAACUUUUUAUUUUCCAUAUAAAUAAAAUGAUGUCAACUCACAAUAUGUAAUGUAAUACAAACAGUAUAUUGAAAUGGAUAAUCUUACUAGCAUUUUGAUUUUUCCAGUGGCUUGCUAGUUUAGGGUACUUAAUUGUUAGGUGUGGUUGCUAAUACCCUACAAUAUUUGGUGGUCAGUCUUUUUAGUUCAGAUCAGUCACUGUAACAUGCUCCUUUUGGACCUUUUUGUUUUACAUUGUUAUUUCAGUAUUACCUUAAUUUUUUCUCCAAUAUGUAUUUAAGUUACAUUUAUUACUGACUCUGUAACUGAAUAAUAUAGAAUAUAGAUGUAUUUAGAAGUAUCCAAAAAGCUAGGCCUUGUGUUGGACACUAGGGAUACACAGAGAUGAGUAAGUGAUGGGCCCUUACCUCCAGGAGUUUAUAGUGUAGAGAGUUUUAUGUUUAGAUUGCUCCUCUUUGUUUCAAUUUACUUAUUUUAGGAGAGAAGAUCAUCUGGGUCCUUUUUUUUUUGAGACGGAGUCUCGCUCUGUCGCCCAGGCUGGAGUGCAGUGGUGCGAUCUCGGCUCACUGCAACCUCCACCUCCCAGGUUCAUGCCAUUCUCCUGCCUCAGCCUCCUGAGUAGCUGGGACUACAGGCGCCCGCCACCACGCCUGCUAAAUUUUGCAUUUUUAGUAGUGGCGGGGUUUCACCAUAUUGGCCAGGCUGGUCUCUAACCUGACCUUGUGAUCCGCCCACCUCGGCCUUCCAAAGUGCUGGGAUUACAGGCGUGAGCCACCGUGCCCUGCCCAAUCUGGGUCCUUUUCUGAUGGCAUGGUACCAUUAUUCUUUGCUUAUCUUUAACUCUGCAGCAUACUUCAUAUAAAAUUAUAGGAUUAAAAUUAAAAAGAGAAACAUUUAAGCUGAGAAGUUUUCUUCAGUUUUACAGACCUUCAUAAAAUAUUCUAGAAUGUCUUCAAUUGAAAUGCUAAAUAUGAACAAUGUACUUUGAAAUUUAGAAUGUAUUUUUACUUUAGCAGAAACAUUUAGAAAAACAGUGUAAGUCCUUUUCUGUUUCAAUCAUAACUGCACAAAAGCCAGAUGUCUAGCAUUUUAAGUGUUUUCUUACAUGUGUUUUAUCAGUUCCCCAUAUGAUUUUAAUACUAUGUGUGAUAUACAUGCAUAACUGGAAAAAGUGACUUUCUUCCCUAUUGCCAAAACCAAUUUUCCAGACUAAAUAAAAUCUAGACAGAUUUUACAUUUCUCAACAUCAGUAUUUUGAAUAUUGAUGAAAACACAGUAAGAUACUUUAUUACACUGCUUUAGAGUUACUUUGAUAAAAGUUUGUUGCACUAAAUCAAGAGUAUUUUCCUUUUUGAUGAAUGGCUUUACAGUAAAGAAUUAGAUGAAGUAAACUACUGGUGUAUAUCUUUCCCUGGAGUGAAAAUGAAUAUUCAUUUAAAAAUUACUUAUAUUUUUUAGAGACAGGGUCUUGUUCUGUCACCUGGGCUGGAGUGCAGUGGUACGUUUGCUGCUUACUGCAGCCUCAACCUCCUGGGCUCAAGCGAUCCUCCCACCUCAGCCUCCCGAGUAGCUGGGACCACAGACGUGUACCACCAUGCCUGGCUAAUUUAUUGUUUUUAUUUUUUUAGAGACAGGGUUUUGUUAUGUUUCCCAGACUAAUCUUGAACUCAUGGCCUCAAGUGAUUCUCCUGCCUCGGCCUCCCAAAGUUCUGGGAUUAUAGGUGUGAGCCACAGUGCUCAGCCAGAAAAUGAAUAUUCUUAACAGCAUAUUUCUGAUUUUUGAAAAAGUUAAUUUUAAAAUAGUGAAUACUAAUUUUGGCAAAAGAAAAAAAAAUGAACAGUUGUUAAAACUCUCAGCUCUAUACCAUUAUAAACAGAGUCUCUGGAAUCAUGUUUAGUGUAAAUUCUAUCUAAUCUAGUUUCUACUUUUGAUUUGUUUUGAGACAGAGUCUCACUCUGUUACCCAGGCUAGAGUGCAGUGGGAAAAUCAUGGCUUAUUUCAGCCUCAACUUUGUUGAGCUCAGGUGAUUCUCCUAAGUAGCUGGGACCACAGGCACACGCUACCAUGCCAGGCUAAUUUUUUUUUUUCUUUGUAUUUUUUUUUUUGUAGAGAUAGGGUUUUGCCAUGUUGCUUAGGCUGGCAAUUUCUACAUUUUAAAGAAUAAAAUGAAUGUACGUAGAGCUUACUAACUUUCCACUUCUAAGCAUCUCUGUUACAACAGGCUUCAUAUUCUCUUCUGAAUUACUUUUCAUGGGUUUGCAUUUCUUUUUCUUUCUCUUAUUUUUCUUUUUUGAGACAAGAGUCUUGCUCUGUCACCAAGGCUGGAGGGAAGUGUUGUGAUCUCAGCUCACUCAAGCGAUUCUCCUGCCUCAGCCUCCCGAGUAGCUGGGAUUACAGGCACCCACCACCACGCUCAGCUAAUUUUUGUAUUUUUAGUAGAGACGGGGUUUCACCAUGUUGGCCAGGCUGGUCUCGAACUUCUCAUGUUAGCAAUCUGCCUGCUUUGUCCUCCCAAAGUGUUGGGAUUACAGGCGUGAGCCACUGUGCCCAGCCAAGGGUUUGCAUUUUUUUUUUUUUUUUUUUUUGAGAUGGAGUUUCGCUCUGUCACCCAGGCUGGAGUACAGUGGCGUGAUCUGGGCUCACUGCAAGCUCCGCCUCCUGGGUUCACACCAUUCUCCCACCUUAGCCUCCCGAGUAGCUGGGACUACAGGCGCCCACCACCACACCCUGCUGAUUUUUUUUGCAUUUGUAGUUGGGACCGGGUUUCACCAUGUUAGCCAGGAUGGUCUCGAUCUCCUGACCCUGUGAUCCACCUGCUUCGGCCUACCAAAGUGCUGGGAUUACAGGUGUGAGCCACCGCACCUGGCUGGAUUUGCAUUUCUUUAAGCAUCAGGAAAGUUGUCUUUCCUUUAAAAAACACUAGAAAAUAUUAGGUUGAAUAGAAAUGCUAAAUAUUCUAAAUUGUAUUUUCUGUUUUUUUUUUUUUAUUUUCUUAUAUUUAAAUUUGUAUGCCAUUUAACUACAUUUGAUUGUGUUCAGGCAUUUGGUUAUAUAUUGAGAAAUGCACACUGAUCUCUUCCUAGCAAGGAUCUUCUAAAGUAUUUUCUGACCAGGUGCAGGUGGCUCACGCCUGUAAUCCCAGCACUUUGGGAGGCCAAGGUGAGUGGAUCACCGGAGGUCAGGAGUUCAAGACCAGCUUGGCCAACAUGGCAAAACCCUGUCUCUACUAAAAAUACAAAAACUAGCUGGGCAUGGUGGUGGGCGCCUGUAAUCCCAGCACUUGGGAGGCUGAGGCAGGAGAAUCGCUGGAACCUGGGACGUGGAGGUUGUAGUGAACUGAGAUAGUGCCACUGCACUCCAGCCUGGGUGAUAAGAGUGAGACUGUCUCAAAAAAAAAAAAAAAAAAAAAAAAAAAUUCUGGUGUUCCUACAAUAUCACUAUAAUGGAAAAUAUUCACAAUUUAAGGAAGCUAUUUAAUUUUUAUUAAAACAGGCCAGAAACAAAUUUUCUUUAGGGCACAUUACAUUAUAUCAAAAGUCCCUGUUGUAGUUUGCUUCUCAUUUAUUUAUGUGAGGCACAAGGUUGCAUGAGAAACUAACAAAGACGGUGUAUUUGUCUUGGAACAGUGGAUUUGUCUUGGAACGGUGUAUUUGUCUUGGAACAGGUGGAGAUUUCAUUGAGUGGUAUAAAAAAGGUAUAGGAGAUGAAGAGGUUGGAGCAAAGGAUAACUCUUCAAGUGGAUUUGAGCAAGUUACAGGGCAUCCAAGUAUAACUAAACUGUUGAAGUUGAUAUAAUACUUGGGAACCAGAGAUUAUCUGGUUGAAAUAAGAUAACAGUUGAAAUAACCACUGAGAUAAUGGCUGAAAGAGCCAAGUUACCAAGUGAUUUAAGCAAUGAAAAUCACAGGAGGGCUUAUAGGUAUCUGAUUUUCUUGGCAUUUUUAGUCUGUUAUUAUAGUCAUAUUAAAUUGGUGACAUAGUACAGCAUAUGUUUUGAAAAAAUAUAUGUAGCGGACUCCCAUCAUUCAUAUAUUUAACUUGGGGAAAUCCAACCACCAUUCUACUUAGUGAAGAGGCAUAGGCUCCAGAGAGAGUGAGAAAGGAGACAGAAAUCUGCUGUUCCAUUAGUCUGUCUGGUUUCUCACUUGACUCUCAUAGUGUAUCUCAUUGCCCUAGUAUAAUUCUAAGGUAAAGAAAAGCUUUUUUUUUAAAAAAAAAACACAAUAUGGUAUCUCAACACAAACUCAAAUGAAGAAACAGCCAUCUUUCUUGAUUCUAGGAUUGUGUACCUCUUCAAUGAGGUACUUCCCUGUAGGCUCUUGAAAGGUAACAAAAGCACAUUUGAUUAAAUGUGCUUUUUCCCCAUUUGUACUCAAUUUAGAGCCUAACAUCCCUAGAAAAUGGAAUUUCAUUGUAUAUGACUGGGUAUUACUUAGAAAAAAAACAUGUAAGUUUUGGUUGGUGUUUAGAAAGUCACCGUGUUUGGGUGCUACAGGAUUUGGGAACAGAUAGCUAUUCACCGGCUUGGUUCUGUCUUUCUAGGAAUAUUACUGUCUUUCACAUCCUGUUUUGUUUUCUUCCCUCCUAG